AUUGAACGCUGGCGGCAGGCCUAACACAUGCAAGUCGAACGAGUGGCGGACGGGUGAGUAAUGUCUGGGAAACUGCCUGAUGGAGGGGGAUACCUACUGGAAACGGUAGCUAAUACCGCAUACCAUCGGAUGUGCCCAGAUGGGAUUAGCUAGUAGUUGGGGUAACGGCUCACCUAGGCGACGAUCCCUAGCUGGUCUGGGAGGAUGACCAGCCAACCGGGAACUGAGACACGGUCCAGAUUCCUCCGGGAGCCAGCAGUGGGGAAUAUUGCAAAAUGGGCGCAAGCCUGAUGAAGCAAGGCCGCGUGUAUGAAGAAGGCCUUCGGGUUGUAAAGUACUUUCAGCGGGGAGGCGUUACCCGCAGAAGAAGCACCGGCUAACUCCGUGCCAGCAGCCGCGGUAAUAC
rnacentral:rRNA from 1 species